UACAUAGGUGGCGAACGUUAUCCGGAAUUAUUGGGCGUAAAGCGCACGUAGGCGGUCUGUUAAGUCGGAUGUGAAAGCCCCGGGCUCAACUCGGGAAGUGCAUUCGAAACUGGCAGGCUUGAAUAUGGAAGAGGGUCGCGGAAUUCCCGGUGUAGAGGUGAAAUUCGUAGAUAUCGGGAGGAACACCAGUGGCGAAGGCGGCGACCUGGGCCAAUAUUGACGCUGAGGUGCGAAAGCGUGGGGAGCAAACAGG
rnacentral:rRNA from 1 species